rnacentral:rRNA from 1 species
UACGUAGGGUGCAAGCGUUAAUCGGAAUUACUGGGCGUAAAGCGUGCGCAGGCGGUUCUAUAAGACAGAUGUGAAAUCCCCGGGCUCAACCUGGGAACUGCAUUUGUGACUGUAGAGCUGGAGUACGGUAGAGGGGGAUGGAAUUCCGCGUGUAGCAGUGAAAUGCGUAGAUAUGCGGAGGAACACCGAUGGCGAAGGCAAUCCCCUGGACCUGUACUGACGCUGAGGAGCGAAAGCGUGGGGAGCGAACAGG